UGAGGAAUAUUGGUCAAUGGACGCAAGUCUGAACCAGCCAAGUAGCGUGCAGGAUGACGGCCCUAUGGGUUGUAAACUGCUUUUAUAUGGGGAUAAAGUGGGGAACGUGUUCCCUUUUGCAGGUACCAUAUGAAUAAGGACCGGCUAAUUCCGUGCCAGCAGCCGCGGUAAUACGGAAGGUUCGGGCGUUAUCCGGAUUUAUUGGGUUUAAAGGGAGCGUAGGCCGUUUGGUAAGCGUGUUGUGAAAUGUAGGAGCUCAACUUCUAGAUUGCAGCGCGAAGUGUCAGACUGGAGUGCGCACAAGGUAGGCGGAAUUCAUGGUGUAGCGGUGAAAUGCUUAGAUAUCAUGAAGAACUCCGAUUGCGAAGGCAGCUUACGGGAGCGCAACUGACGCUGAAGCUCGAAGGUGCGGGUAUCGAACAGG
rnacentral:rRNA from 1 species